rnacentral:rRNA from 1 species
CCUACGGGUGGCAGCAGUGGGGAAUAUUGGACAAUGGGGGGAACCCUGAUCCAGCCAUGCCGCGUGUGUGAAGAAGGCCCUCGGGUUGUAAAGCACUUUCAGUGAGGAAGAACGCCUGGUGGUUAAUACCCAUCAGGAAAGACAUCACUCACAGAAGAAGCACCGGCUAACUCCGUGCCAGCAGCCGCGGUAAUACGGAGGGUGCGAGCGUUAAUCGGAAUUACUGGGCGUAAAGCGCGCGUAGGUGGCUUGAUAAGCCGGUUGUGAAAGCCCCGGGCUCAACCUGGGAACGGCAUCCGGAACUGUCAAGCUAGAGUGCAGGAGAGGAAGGUAGAAUUCCCGGUGUAGCGGUGAAAUGCGUAGAUAUCGGGAGGAAUACCAGUGGCGAAGGCGGCCUUCUGGACUGACACUGACACUGAGGUGCGAAAGCGUGGGGAGCGAACAGGAUUAGAUACCCCGGUAGUC